UUCCUCUAUAACUAAUCUUAUAUUAGAACUAGUAAUCGACAAAAAGAUUGCAUUCAGAUUAUCUCGCGAUGAAUCAAAGAUUCAAGAGAGGAUAAGGUUAAGGCCAAAGUGUCUCCAGAAUGCCCUCUCUCCUCCCCCUUUGGAAUUCCCCUGCAAUACUACUUUAAUCCCGACAGAGCUUGACAAUGGGAUUAGCUUCGGUUAUCCACCCCGGCAUGCCAUGUAUUUCGCCGCCUUCCAAUUGCUCUCGGCUUCAACUUACUCACCACCAUAUUUUCAGUUUGCGCACAGUUGGUCAUGGUCGUCGAGCUGAAUAUUUUCCAAUUGCCUGCUCCAGAGGAACCGAGCAGGAGGAUCAUUUCUCUCCCUCAGAAAGCAAGAGAAUCAGUUCUCAGUCAUACGAUGAGAUUAUCAAUGCUGAUCCCUAUAACACUCCAGAUGCGAUCAAUAAUCUAGAAAAAUCUCAGGGGCGUGAAACUUAUGCGUCUUCUGUUAGAAAUGUUGCCUUUUGGGUGUGCACUGCGGUGGCAUUUGGCAUUGGAUUAGGUUUGAAAGAUGGACUUGGCAAGGCAUCAGAGUUUUUUGCUGGGUAUAUAUUGGAGCAAAGUUUGUCAGUGGACAAUCUUUUUGUCUUUGUUCUGAUUUUUAAGUACUUCAAAGUGCCCGUUAUGUAUCAGAAUCGUGUACUUUCAUAUGGUAUUGCUGGUGCAGUCGUCUUUCGUUUGACAUUGAUUCUUCUUGGAGCAGCCACUCUUCAGAGGUUUGAGGCAGUGAACCUGCUACUGGCUGCAAUACUCCUAUUCUCGUCAUUUAAGCUAUUUUCCAGUGAAGAAGGUGACACUGACAUAUCUGACAACUUUGUGGUGAAGACAUGCCAAAGAUUUAUACCCGUCACAACUAAUUAUGACAGUGAUCGAUUUAUAACUGUUCAGGAUGAUGUCUGGAAAGCCACACCUUUGCUUCUCACAGUGGCAGUUAUUGAGCUCAGUGACAUAGCAUUUGCGGUUGACUCAAUACCUGCAGUUUUUGGUGUUACGCGGGACCCUUUCAUAGUUUUUAGUUCUAAUCUCUUUGCCAUCUUAGGUGUGGCUAUCAAUCAUGGUAUCCUGUUUACUUGGCUUUGGCAUUCUGAUUUUCUGUUUCACUGUACAAUAUUAAGGUUUGAGGUCACUAUACACUCUUAUUUCAGAAGGCAUGUCAGAUUUGGAGUAUUUACAGCCAUCCAUUGGUGUUGUCCUGGGCUUUGUUGGGUGCAAGAUGAUCCUGGAUUUUUUUGGAUUCCAUAUUUCAACUGAGGCAUCUCUUGGUUUUGUAUUCACUAGUCUUAGUGUCGGAGUACUGUUAAGUUUAAUGAAUAAGUCUGAUUAAUUAAAGAAAUACAGGCGCAGAGGCAGGUAUGACAAACCAGCAUACUCAUGAAAUGGAAACCCCGGAACAGAGGCAAAGCCAAAGGUAGCAUAGCUUGUUCUAGUUCCAAUUGAUCUAGUUUGAGCUUUAUCAUUUUCCUAUUGAAGAUUCGUUUUAUCAAGUUCAGUUAUUUAUCUAAGGCUCAAGGGCAAAAGAAUCCAUCCAACCAUGAAACUUAUUUGUGAAUCUAACAUUUUCUGAAAGAAUCGGAGGCACAUGGAGCUAUGGGGAAUGAUACUUACAGAGAA